rnacentral:rRNA from 1 species
UACGUAGGGUGCGAGCGUUAAUCGGAAUUACUGGGCGUAAAGCGUGCGCAGGCGGUUAUUUAAGACAGAUGUGAAAUCCCCGGGCUUAACCUGGGAACUGCGUUUGUGACUGGAUAGCUGGAGUAUGGCAGAGGGGGGUGGAAUUCCACGUGUAGCAGUGAAAUGCGUAGAGAUGUGGAGGAACACCGAUGGCGAAGGCAGCCCCCUGGGCCAAUACUGACGCUCAUGCACGAAAGCGUGGGGAGCAAACAGG